rnacentral:lncRNA from 1 species
ACAACACUCGGUAUUUUUAAGUUUUCUGGAGAUUCAACUGUCGGAUCGCGACGAAAUUUUACACUGUGUUGGUAGACAAAAUUCCGCACAAUCUCACCGAAGGGGUUGUCAAAAUAAUGAUUGGAUCAACGGGAAACAUGCGAACAAGUCAGACAUUCGUGGUGUUACGAACGGCCGCAAGGAAUCCGAACAACACUUGGUGUUUUGGAGUUGGCCGGAGAUUUCACCGUCGGAUCGAGACGAAAUUUCACACAAUUUCGCACAAUCUCACCGAUGAAAUUGUAGAAAUAAUAUUUUAGGCUACAGAUACUUUGCGAGAGAAGAAGGAGGCAGGAGAAAGAAAAAGAUUAAGCAAAAGGAGAGCAAAAGGAAGUAAAAGAAAAAACGUUAAAAAACCAUCCUACCCUUCUAAGUUUGGGAGGGGGGUUGUAUUGAAUUAGGCCU